UACGAAGGGGGCUAGCGUUGUUCGGAAUUACUGGGCGUAAAGCGCACGUAGGCGGAUACUUAAGUCAGGGGUGAAAUCCCGGGGCUCAACCCCGGAACUGCCUUUGAUACUGGGUAUCUCGAGUCUGGAAGAGGUGAGUGGAAUUCCGAGUGUAGAGGUGAAAUUCGUAGAUAUUCGGAGGAACACCAGUGGCGAAGGCGGCUCACUGGUCCGGUACUGACGCUGAGGUGCGAAAGCGUGGGGAGCAAACAGG
rnacentral:rRNA from 1 species